UAUGCUCUUAUUCUCCGAGCCGAUAGCCCUAAAAUUAAUUAUCAUGGGUUUUUGGCCGAUAGGGUACAUCUGAAAACGGAUGUGCCUCCCAAUGUGGAAAGGAGAAGGCUUUAUUUUGUU
rnacentral:ncRNA from 2 species